AUGAUCUGUGUGUUAAUGAGCUUAAUAACAUUGUAUAUAUAUAUAUAUAUGUACUUCUUUGUCAUUGAUGAUGUAUGGAAAGAACAACACUGGGAAUUUGUCAAAGCAGUUUUUCGUGACAAUUAUAAUGGUAGCAGAAUAAUUGUUACGACCCACAUUACCAAGGUAGCCAAGUCAUGUUGUUCCAACUCUGGUGAUCAGCUCUAUCAAAUGCCACAUCUGAAUUUUGUUGAUUCUAGAAGAUUGUUCUAUAAGAGAAUUUUAAACUCCCAACACUCCUGCCCUCCUCAACUAGAAGAUGUUUUAGCUACGAUCUUAAGAAAAUGUGGUGGGGUGACAUUGGCUAUACUUACCGUUGCGAGUUUGCUAUCCCAUAAACCGCAAAACCCAACUGAAUGGGAGAGACUCCAAGAUUCCAUUGGUACUGGUCUUUCAUAUGAGAGUGAUGACGAUGGAAAAUGUAUGAAACACAUAUUGUUACUUAGUUAUUGGGAUCUUCCAAACCACCUGAAGACUUGUUUGUUGUACUUAUGUAUAUAUCCAGAGGACGCGAAAAAUCUCGUGUGA
rnacentral:rRNA from 1 species